GGGGGUGGUUCCCUGGGGGGACCUUGUAGAGCCUAUCAGCUGCCUAGUUUUGAAGAGCUAGGUUUAAAGAUUGACACGCAGUUAAAUCACUUAAAAGAGCUGAACACAGCUCUGUGAAGACACAUGAAAACUAAUAAAUCCCAGGAAAGCUCUCUUAGCUUCCAGCUUUUGAAUAGGCCAGACCAGGACGGGCCAGCUUUUGAAGAGGCCAGACAGGGCCUGUUCAACCCAUGGGGCUGGCCUGGGCCACGCUGGCGCCCUUCAGCCCUUGUGGUCAGGUUGGCAUGCAGCUCGGCUGGGAUUUCUGCCACCGCCAGGCCAUACCACCAGGACUAUCCCAACACCGUGCAGCCGGGACCAGUGCUGCAAGUGGCUGCAUGGCCGAGACUGCUCAGCUGGGAUCCACAUGUCCAAGUGUCUCACAUGAAAGAAAGCCAUAGGAGUGGUGCCAGCAGCCAGCGUGACUCACAUGGUGUCAGCCGGGACCACAUGAUCAACAAAGAGCCACAGCAAUUCCUCGACUGUGGAGCCUGGACAAAAUCAGCCUUUAAACAUUGCAAAAUAAAAUGCAUAAAACCAUUAUAAAUGGUCUAUAAAACCAUUUUAAUUGAUAAAGCUUGAGUGCAGAUGAACCUACAAACUCUAAUUCUUUCCUGAGUCUGGAAAAGGAAAGGGUGAAGACAGGUAGAGAAAAUAAUAUGGGACACUGAGAUCAGUAAAGAAGGAGUAAAAUUCUAGAUGGGAGGGGAUUGAGGAGAUCUGUUAGUCUAAAAUUCUUUUUGUAAAGAUGUGGUGAAGACAUAUUUGAUAUGUCCAACUCUGGUUUUUUUUCCUUAUACUUCAUGGAAUGCACUGUGGGGGAUGUAGUGUUCUUGCUACAGCUGUGAGCAGAACCAUCAGUGUUGAAAUAAGCAGAUGUUGCAGUAGCUGUGGUCCAAUGAGAAGUUUGAAAAAACAGAAAUGAGAAACUUUGCCCCAGGAACAGAAGAAGAAAACAUCCGUUCCCAGAGAUUGAAUUAAAGAACUUUUAUUUUUUUGCUAGAAAAGCUUAUCCUUAAAAAUAGCACCCCAAUAAAUUGACAUGGCCCAUGAACGCAGCUGUGUGAAGGCUGCAGAAAGAUGGGAGGGACUUCAAGACUGCAGAUUUCCAGGUGGCUGCUAUUUGUGGAAAUUAAAAGCCACAAGAGAACUGUUUUUUGAGGACAAGUCUCCAUGGCAUGGCAAGAGAAACUCCUCUCCUUAAGAGGACUGAAGAAAAGCUAUUUCAGAGGUGGUAAACUGACUCAAAGUCCCAGAGCACUAGUGGUUCCAACAUGUGGAAUUUUAAAUCUACAAUUUCCAGGCCAGAAACUGGUACAGAUGACUGAGCCACUUACAGAACGAAUCAUACCAUAUCUGCAUCCUGCUGAUAAAUUAGUAUGUGUGACGGUAAUAAUGACAGUGAAGAGCAUCAUAUUUGAAAAGUCAUGGCAGAAUGGUAGUGAAGUUCCCAGUUCCUGGAAAAGGAAGAUAUAACCUUCUAAUUUUGAAAAACAAAAGUAGAAGGACCUGAGGAAUUACAGGCUGGUCAGUUUCACUGCUGUGUUCAGCAAGAUCAUGGAGCAGAUCCUCAUGGAGCCUAUACUAGAGUACAUAGGAAACAGAGAAGGGACCAGUGCCUGCCAGCAUGGCUUCUCUAAGAGAAGCGUGUCAAACUUUGUGGGCUUCUAUGGAUGAUGUUAUCUAGCUGGACUUGACUGGUGUCUCUAAACCAAAGAGACAUGGGUUUGAUGGGUGGACCAUUCACUGAGUAAGGAAUAGAGUGGAUGAUCAUACUCAAAGAGUUACUCUCAGUGUCUGGGUGGAGACCAAUGACGAGUUAUGUUCUUCUGUGGUCUGUAUUGGGACCAGUAAUAUCUUUUCUGGGGACACGGACAAUGGGACUAUGUACACUCAACAAACCUGUGGAUCACACCAGGCUUAGUAGUCUAGGUGUGAUCCAGAUAGAAGGAAUGCCAAUCAGACGUACAACAGACUAGUGAUGUGGGUCCAUGUCAACCUUCAGCACAGCCAAAUGCAAGGAUAGGGCAGCAAACAUGGAGACAGCCUGGCUCAUUAGAUAGAGAACAGUUCUGCCGAGAAGGACAUGGUGGAUGAAAACCUGAAUAUAUCCUGGCAAUGUGUGCUUGGAGACCAACCACAUCCUGGACUACAGGUCAAGGGAGGUGAUUUUACCCCUCUACAAGGACCCUGUGAGACCCCACCUGGAGCACAGAGUCCAGCUCUGGGGUCCCCAGCACAAAAAGAUACAGACCUGCUUGAGUGGGCCUGGAAGAAGACCACAAACUUAUCAGGGAAUCUGGAGUACAUUCUCUAUGAAGAAAGACUGAGAGAGUUGGGAGUUCAGCCUGGAGAAGAGCCAGCUCCAGUGAGACCUUAUAGCAGCCUUUCAGUGCUUUAAAGGAGCCUACAGAAAGGUGAUUAUGGACUCUAUGAAGCUUUGUGCUUAUAGGACAAGCGGCUUCAGUUUUAAACUGAAAACAGUUAGAUGUAGAUUAGAUAUUGGGAAGAAAUACUUUACCUAGAGAAGAGAGAAGAACUGGAACAGGUUUCCCAGGGAAACCUGUAGGUGCUCCCUCCCUGGAGUUGUUCAAAAGCAGUUGCACGAGUCUGAGUAAUCUAGUCUAGUGGUAGUAUCCCUGUACAAAGCAGGGGGAUUGGACAUGGACAUAAUUCAUUCCAUGAUUAGUAUAACACUUAAGAAACAUUUGCCAUCCUUAAAAAACAUUUUUCACAGAACCAUUUAGUUAAUUUUUUCAGUCACACAUGUAAGUUCUCAAAAAUUCACAACCCCACUUACUAGACUAAUUUAUUCACAGCAAAGUGCAUUUUGCAAUGAGCUUCUUUAAUAACGCCAUUUUUUUCUCUCUUUUUUUUCUCUGUGUGUGUCAAGAGGAGGAGAAGAAAAAAGACCAGGAAAUCAUAAUCGGUGUUUUAAUGAAUGGAUGUGACAGUAAAUAAAUAAUAAGUAAAAAUGCUUAAACUCUUGAGCAUUUCACAUAAUAAUUUGUCCCAUUUACUUUGACCUUUUUCUUGGAAACACCUUAGUGAGUCAGAAACAGUUAGUGAGAUUCCAGCAUUUGUGAUACUAAGUUUUCCCUGUGAUCAGAUAAUUGCAAACCUAGAGUAUGUAAAAUCAGAAUACCUCGGCUUUCAAAUGUUUCAUUUAAGGUAGUGACAGGGUAAGUUUCUGCUUUCUUAUCCAUUUAGUAAUCUCUAAUUAUUUUCAUUUUUCUUUCCCAGAUCAGACUGAAAUUAAUAUCUCCAGUUAAUAGCUUUGGAAACUUAACUGUGGCUAUGAAUCAAUAAUAGUAAAUCAUUAUUUUCACAGGACAAACUCAGUUUUAUCACAGGGUUUUUUGCUUACAAAGCAGUGCAUUCAAAAUUGUAUUUUUAUUGUACAUAUUUACACUUCCUCCCACCAAUUUGAGACCUUCCUUUUAUUCAUGCCUGUUACCUGGUUUACAGUGUUGCAAAACCACAGCUGGGAUUUGGAACAACCUUAAAGGCUGAAAUUUGCUUACUUCUGAGUUCAAUAUAUAAUGGAAUUAUACUGAAAUACCUAUAUUUAUCUCAGGUACCCUACAGAUUCCCAACUUUCUUUAUAUAUUAUGGGCUGAGCAUACACAAUGAACUUCCAUAGGACAUAUAUACACUUAUACUUUAUUUGAAGUGUAUUCUAAUUGCUCUUUAACCUGGCUGCAAGACAAGGUCAAACUGACAGGUUUUUAAAGAUAUUAAAGUUCUAACAGAUAGAUGACAGACAUAUCAGUGUUAAACAAAUCACUCAAAUAUGCUACCACCUCUAAAAGUAUAUCAGAUUUUAUCAAUACUCCUCAAAGUUAUCUAAAUUUUAAGCAGGUAACUGAGUCCCAUGAGUGUCAAUCCUUUGCUGAUACUAGGUGCUUUACUGAAUAAAAUAUUUUCCUAUUGCAGAAGUCAUAGAUUAAUUAACAUUUUAAAUGACAAAUAAUCAUUUAUGUGAUAUUAUAAAAAGCUAAUGAAAUCAAAUCUGAUAACAUUAAAAUACCAGCAGCAGUAUGUCACUUCAUAUUUUAGCAAACAAAAAGGAAAAUUGAGGGUCAUUUUAUGCUGUAAAGCAAAAUUUAGACUGUGAUUUUCAUAUGCUGACUCAAAGAUUUUGGGCUGUUGGUAAGAAUCUGGUGGUAUUACUGUUUAUUACAGUACAUACAAAAAUAGUAAUGUAUCACAGUUAAAAAUAAAUAAAUUUUAAUCAGUAAAAAAUGUAAUUACAGCAUUCAGGCGAGACUCAGAAUAUAUUCUCCUGAUUGCCAGAGAUGCAGUUUGUGGAGCACUAAGACAAAAUCUAAGUGGCGCCAGUUCUCACAUUUAAUAGAGGAGAUUUCCUCAUUCUCCUCAUUCUGCUGCUGUCCUAUGUAGUCUUAGCACUGUCUGUGAACAGCCUAAAGGCUUUUAGCAUGUGCUAUGUUAUUAUUGGAAAAGUCCUAAAAGCAGAGUCAAGAAAUAGCACUAUUCAACUUUUUUCCUCCAUUCCUAAGAGGAAAUAGGGAAUAGUUGUUGAUCUGGGUAAUUUACUCUAAGCUAUUUUAAAUUGGGUUUCCAGUAUGGAACAUUUGUCUAGGCUUUUCUAAACAUUUCUAAAGAAGAGAUUCAGAAACUCCUUUACAAGGUAAUCCUUUCCAGUGGUCUUGAGUGCAUUGAUGGUGGGUAUCAGUGUGGUAGACUGAGACACUAUCUACUAAACUUCCUCCACUCUAAAUAUCAAAGUAUUAACCUGGGGUACACUGGUUGCUAUUCUAGAAAAAACUCUGCUGACUUCUGACACCUCUCAUGUAGGUGAGUCAGCAAGCAGGCUUAGAUGCGUUAUGGCAGGAGAAAAAAUUCAGUGUCAGCUAAUUAGUAUCUGACAGCUAUUCAGGUGGUACUGGAGGAGGAACAAAGGGCAGGAGCAGAAAUACAAAAUAAUUCAGCUAAUGUAGAAGUCUGUUUCCUUCCAAGUGUCAGUGUCAUUUGGACAUUAUUUUUCUGGCAUGUCAUGGAAAGAAAAGAAAGGGAUCCCCAUCAGCUUCCAUAGGUCAGUGGAUCCUGUCCAAGUGUUCAAGGCAAAUCUUGCUGAAACCUGUUUAUUGGAGAAGCAGAGAGCAAUUGCUUGACUACUCUGUUCGCCCACUUUUUAAGGAAAAAAAUCAAGUCAGAUCCAGAUCUCAUCCAGCAAACUUCAAUCGUCAUGCUCCUGUGGGGCAACACCACUUCCUCAGAAACACUGCUGGGGUAAAGACCCUGCUGGGGUUUUAAUGUAAACAUGAAUUAGGGUGGUAUUUUGCUUCUUGAUAUAGAUUUGAUUCUUGGUUUUCUUUACCCCUAGGAACUGAAAUAAUUAGUUUAGUCUUAACUCAGGUUUUGGGGUACUACAAUGUGAUGAAAAUUAUGAGAUCCAAGGUCUGGUAAAAGAGCAUAUAUAUUGCUUCAUUUUACCACUGAGUUUUAAUUCUAUAGUGGUCUGAAAAAAGCAACUUUCUAAUCAGAUUGUCUUGACAGCCAUUCCGUGACCGACCUGUUACAGUUAAUUCAUGUUUUUUUCCCUUACAUACUUGAAACCGUACUCAAAUAUGUUCUUUAGAUAAACUUCAGUUUCUGGUGCCAGAAGAUUCUCUUAUGAAACAGAAAAUUUUGUAUCUGCCUUCUUAAAGUCAACAAAGUGCUGCCUUAAGUCUUAUAAGCAGUAGAUUAAUUGAAAGUGACUUGUGCAGUCAAUGUGUGAAAUGGAAAAGCUCAUUUCAUCUUGUCCAAUUUUUACAUUAUUCUAUUUUCUCAGAGAACUACAAAGCUGAAACACUUUUCAGUAAAAUGCUUCCUUAAAAAAUGAUCAGUUUUGUCUGCCUGUCAUUGAGAAGGCAGACAAAAUGAAAGCAUUUUCACUGCUUUAGUAUCAGAAUAUGCAUCCCUCCUUUUCUCUUAACUCAGGCACUGGAACCGUAAUGAUCAAAGCAAUUUCAGAAGGUACGUCUAUUAUGAGAGCCAUCUCAUUCACAUGUGAGGGAUGUGUUCUUUGUCUCCACUAAGAGAGCAGCAAUAAUUUCUAUAUCUGUUUUCUCCACUCAAAUAAUGUUGUGCCUUUUUCAUGAAAAGCACAAUUUUUGAAGAGGAAAAAUUUAAUUCCCCUUCAAUUUUUGUUACUGUUGUAGUUUUAUAACUUUUGAAGAUAUUUUUUUUAAAUAAUUUCAUAUUUUGAUGCCAGGAGCUCCAGGAUAAUCACAAUCCAUUUCUUCUGCUCUCAUCUACUUCGAUUAAUUUGAUUGUACACAAUCCUGACUUCUAGAAGGAAACUGGCAAAAUACAUAUUUUCAUCUGUGAAAUGGAUGCAGCACAUUAAAAAUAACAAUAAACUAUGCUGCAAAAAAAUAUUUAACAUUUUAUCAACUGGUUUGAUACUAUGUAGCAAAACAAAUUGAACUGCUCUUGGCUAUUCUUCACAUUUGUCCUCUGUAUACAGCAUUCAAUCAUUUGUAUUUAGAUGUGUUAAAGAGAAGCAAGUCAUUAGUAAAUUCAGUUAGAAAUAUUUGCUGUCAUACAUAAGCAGGCAUACUCAUGGAUCACUUGAGAAACCUUUAUUAAGUCUUGAGCAUUCUGAUUCUGAACUCAUGAAACUUCCUCAAGAUGGCAGCUGAAGCUGGCAGGAUGCUGAGUAAAUACUGUGUUAAACAACAGAGAGAAGAGGAAACACUGGAGACAGGACAUCUGAAUUUCUGCUCUUUGGAUUGGGACUGGGAAAGUGAGCAUAUAGUCAUCUCCACCUCCUUGGGCUCUGCAGCACCUGUUUCCCCCAGGAAAUAAUUGUUAUCCAUCCAUGGAAUUUUUGUUUCCCUGUAGCCAUUGAGGAGAGAGAGUCUGUGCUAUUACUCCCCUCUAGUGGCAGUCUGAGUAGUUAAAUCCUUCCUGCCUUGCUGGAAACAUGGUGAAGUGCACGUCAGGUUUUCUUACCAAGAUUAUCUUCAACCUUUCUUGAAACAGCUCUGUCAUAUUCAAAAUAUUUUCAAGAUUCAUAAAGCUGCUGGUUAUAUUACCCAUGGAAUAUUUUUCUCCAUUAAUGCCAAGGGUCACUAAGAUCUCUGUGAAUAAGUUUUUACAUGCCAUGUAGAGAAGACAAUGUAUUUUUCCUCAGCAAAGUUCAUGGCUCCACAGUAUUGCAACCCUUGUAUUGCAUCUUACUUGUUGUCUAAAAACUGUGGUUUGUAUUUUAAUUUCCUUUUUGCAUCUUAUGUUCUAUGGCAUCUCAAGAGGCUUAAAGUGCUACCCUGUGAAGUGCGACAAAUAGAUCUACAAAUACAAAUAUUUUCACAGCAAGGAGCAUGUGAUUAUAAUCUCAAAGGAUGUGUAAUGGUAAUACUAAUUGAUAGAAGGCAUUUAAAGAAAUUAGCGUCACUAAAAAUGUAUCUGUAAGAAUAGAAUUAGCUGUGAAAAUUUGUUGGCAGACAAAGGGUUUCUCAAUAGUUUUUAAAUAAAGCCAUUUUUUUCUCACCCUCUGAAACUGUGCAUUCAAAACACAUUGCAAACACUCCAGAACAUUUAUCAGCCACCUCAACCACCUUCUCCUCUCCUAUAAUGAGUUUACCUCACUGCAAAGUUAAGAACUGAAGGUGGCAGAACCAAACGUAAGGCAAUUCAGAAAUUGUCUAUCAUUGUUCUUUACAUACAUAUUUAGAUUUCUUAUGAUAAUGACCAACUCUUAUCACCAUAUUCCAUUGACAGUAUGCACAUCCAAAUGCCAGAGUUAGGAGUCCUUGUGUGAUCAUUCCUCUAGCACUAAUUUUGAAUCUAGUUUUUUUCAGCAUUUCAUUAUCUGCUGCUUUUUUUCUGUAGAGCACUCAGCCUCACAAUAUUUUAUGUGAAGAAGAAAAAUAAGUGAAACAGUGCAAUUACCUCUAGUCACUCACUUAACUUUAGCAAAAACCCUUUUCCUCUUUAACAUUUUUAAUGAUGCUCUCUUUUGUAAGACAUAAUUCUGCAACUGCUGCUGUCUAAGCUACAACCAUCCAUUAUCUUCAUUAUCUUUAAAAUGUUUGGCUCCAAAGUAAAAUAACAAAUCAGAUCAGUAGCCAUGAAUUGCCUUUUUGGUUUUGUUGAGGUCAAUUUCUAGUAGGAAAUUUUGAGGUUGGAUCUAAAACCCCACAUGCUGUAUUUCACAUCUUCAUAUCUUUUCCUGAACAGACUACAAGAGGAUGAUUUGAGGAUUAUUUUUUCUAGCCUUACCUUACUUACCCUGAGUAAGUAGCAGUGUUACAGCAAUUUUUUUUUAAAUCAGAUGCCAUAAACUAGUAGAUAGUUUCUACAAUAUUGAAAACACCAGUCUUUAGGCCAAUUCAGGUACA